UCUAGAUUAGACCACGUCCUUUUAUUUAUUAAACUAUAGUAGUUUUUUAUAUAUGUAGAGUAGUACUGUAGUAGCAUAGUGUAGUAAUUCCAAUUUUCCAUUAUAACGAUUCAGUAUUGGUACUUGCAAAACAAGACUAUUGCAUAAACAAGAUCGCACAGUCCUAACGUAGUACACGCAAUGCCAACUGCUGGACCAUUCACUAAUGCAACUAAUAGCUUUGGAUAAUCUAUGAACGCUCUUACAAAGUUUCUGUUGAUGUAAUCACAUAUUUUAAUAGCUAAUAAGUAUUAAUAAAAAAAUAAGUAUGGUUACA